rnacentral:rRNA from 1 species
UGGUGCCAGCAGCCGCGGUAAUUCCAGCUCCAAUAGCGUAUAUUAAAGUUGUUGCAGUUAAAAAGCUCGUAGUUGAACCUUGGGUCUGGCUGGCCGGUCCGCUUCGCGGCGUGCACUGGUCCGGCUGGACCUUUCCUUCUGGGGAAUCCUAUGGCCUUCACUGGCUGUAGGGGGAACCAGGACUUUUACUGUGAAAAAAUUAGAGUGUUCAAAGCAGGCCUUUGCUCGGAUACAUUAGCAUGGAAUAAUAGAAUAGGACGUGUGGUUCUAUUUUGUUGGUUUCUAGGACCGCCGUAAUGAUUAAUAGGGAUAGUCGGGGGCGUCAGUAUUCGGCUGUCAGAGGUGAAAUUCUUGGAUUUGCUGAAGACUAACUACUGCGAAAGCAUUCGCCAAGGAUGUUUUCAUUAAUCAGUGAACGAAAGUUAGGGGAUCGAA